AUUGGACGCUGGCGGCAGGCCUAACACAUGCAAGUCGAGCGGUAACAGGAAGCAGCUUGCUGCUUUGCUGACGAGUGGCGGACGUGUGAGUAAUGUCUGGGAAACUUCCCGAUGGAGGGGGAUAACUACUGGAAACGGUAGCUAAUACCGCAUAACGUCGCAAGACCAAAGAGGGGGACCUUAGGGCCUCUUGCCUUCGGCUGUGCCCAGAUGGGAUUAGCUAGUAGGUGGGGUAAAGGCUUACCUAGGCGACGAUCCCUAGCUGGUCUGAGAGGAUGACCAGCCACACUGGAACUGAGACACGGUCCAGACUCCUACGGGAGGCAGCAGUGGGGAAUAUUGCACAAUGGGCGCAAGCCUGAUGCAGCCAUGCCGCGUGUAUGAAGAAGGCCUUCGGAUUGUAAAGUACUUUCAGCGGGGAGGAAGGGAAUAAAGUUAAUACCUUGCCUCAUUGACGUUACCCACAGAAGAAGCACCGGCUAACUCCGUG
rnacentral:rRNA from 1 species